AUUGAACGCUGGCGGCAGGCUUAACACAUGCAAGUCGAACGAGUGGCGGACGGGUGAGUAAUGUUUGGGAAUCGGGCUGAUGGAGGGGGAUAACUACGGGAAAAGGUAGCUAAUACCGCGUACCAUAGGAUGAGCCCAAGUGGGAUUAGGUAGUUGGUGAGGUAAAGGCUCACGAAGCCGACGAUCUCUAGCUGGUCUGAGAGGAUGACCAGCAACACUGAGAGUGAGACACGGGCCAGACUCCUACGGCAGGCAGCAGUGGGGAAUAUUGCGCAAUGGGUGCAACCUGAUGCAGCCAUGCCGCGUGUAUGAAGUAGGCCUUCGGGUUGUAAAGUUCUUUCGGUAGCGAGGCGUUAACCACAGAAGAAGCACCGGCUAACUCCGUGCCAGCCGCCGCGGUAAUUC
rnacentral:rRNA from 1 species